GCGGUUUCUGGAUCCUUCCUCCAGGAUUUUCAUUGCUGGGGAGCUCUCCUUUCUGCAGUGUGGAGGAGCGCUGGGCAGGAGGCGGCACCGAGGAGAAUGAGGACAAUGUGAUGCUCAGCCGCUGAGGCCAAUCCAGGGAGCCUGCCUUGAUCUCUGCGAUCAGGAAUGUGGCUGAGCAGAUGCAGCUUCUACCUCAAAAUGGACACCCCUCUCAGAUGCUCUGUUGCUAAAAGGGUCCUGGCAGUGCAGGGAAA